rnacentral:rRNA from 1 species
AAUGAACGUUGGCGGCAUGGAUUAGGCAUGCAAGUCGCGCGAUAAGAUUCCUUCGGGAAUCCGAAAGCGGCGAAAGGGAGAGUAACGCGUAGAUGAUCUACCCCGAGGACUGGGAUAGCGGCGGGAAACUGCCGGUAAUACCAGAUGAUGUCUCCGGACCAAAGGUGUGAUUCCGCCUUGGGAUGAAUCUGCGUCCUAUUAGCUAGUUGGUGAGGUAACGGCUCACCAAGGCGAAGAUGGGUACCGGGUGUGAGAGCAUGACCCGGCUCACUGGGACUGAGACACUGCCCAGACACCUACGGGUGGCUGCAGUCGAGAAUAUUCCCCAAUGGCCGAAAGGCUGAGGGAGCGACGCCGCGUGCAGGAAUAAGGCCUU